UACGGGGGGGGGCAAGCGUUUGUUCGGAAUUACUGGGCGUAAAGGGCUCGUAGGCGGCCAACUAAGUCGGACGUGAAAUCCCCAGGCUCAACCUGGGAACUGCGUCCGAUACUGGAUGGCUUGAAUUCGGGAGAGGGAUGCAGAAUUCCAGGUGUAGCGGUGAAAUGCGUAGAUAUCUGGAGGAAUACCGGUGGCGAAGGCGGCAUCCUGGACCGACAUUGACGCUGAGGAGCGAAAGCUAGGGGAGCAAACGGG
rnacentral:rRNA from 1 species